rnacentral:lncRNA from 1 species
UGACCGUCGAUGACUGUAUCAUCGGUGGCGGUAUGUGGUAAAAGAAACUGCCCCGGUGGAUGUCUUCUCAAACCCUCCAUGACCACGGCUUUGAGGUAAACCAUCUUCUGUAAAUCUUCAUGUUCUAUUGCUGCUUCCUCAUUGGGAACAACUUCACGGAUUUCCUUCAACAGCUUCUUUUGAAUUCCUCUCUUCUUCACCAGAUUUGCCAUCACCCAUUGCAAUGCGGUUGAGGUAGUGUCUGUCCCUCCGUUGAGAAACUCCGAGCAGAGACCGAUGAUCUCAACCUCUGUUAACUUUCUUUUUUUAUCCUCCUCGUCUGUAGCUGUAGGUAAUUCCAGAUCUAGAAGUGAAUCCAAGUAGCAGUACUCAUAAUCCUUCCUCGACGGGAUUUUCUUCCGUCUUGCAUCGAUGAGCCGACUGA